rnacentral:piRNA from 1 species
UUGGGAACCCUGUCAGAUGCUGAAAC